UUGGCUCCUUGGGACAGAACCUGCUGAGCACCCUCACAUGAUGCUGGCUUGGCCCCACUCCACUGAUUCCCGAAGUUGCGAGGAAGCAGCACAAGAUGCUUCCUUGCCCAUGAUGGAAAGUGAGAAGGAAGUGACUGCUGGCUGGAAAUCAUUUGAUAAGAUAACCUUGGAAAGUUUCCCCGAUACAGAAAGUGUUUGAUAAAUCUUAAAUCCCAUGAUAAUCCUAUGAGGGAAGCCAUAAUAGCUUCCCAUUCUGAGAGUUCAAAGUUGAAGACUAAUCAUGAAAGAAAAAAGCAAGGAGAAUAU